rnacentral:tRNA from 1 species
GCGCCUGUAGCUCAGUGGAUAGAGCAGUGGCCUCCGGAGCCAUGUGCGGAGGUUCGAUUCCUCUCAGGCGUACCA